rnacentral:rRNA from 1 species
AUCGAACGCUGGCGGCAGGCCUAACACAUGCAAGUCGAACGAGUGGCGGACGGGUGAGGAAUGUCUGGGAAACUGCCUGAUGGAGGGGGGUAACUACUGGAAACGGUAGCUAAUACCGCAUACCAUACGAUGAGCCCAGUUGGGAUAAGCUAGUAGGUGGGGUAAAGGCUCACCAAGGCAACGAUCCCUAGCUGGCCUGAGAGGAUGACCAGCCACACUGGAACUGAGACACGCCCCAGAUUCCUACGGGAGGCAGAAGAGGGGAUCAUUGGCCAUGGGGCGCACGCCGGAUGCAGCCAGGCCUCGGGGUUGAGGAAGGCCUCCGGGUUUUAAACUACGUUCAGCGGGGAGGCGUUACUCGCCGAGAAAGCACCGGCUAACUCCGUGCCAGCAGCCGCGGUAAUUC